AUGGUUUCCUGGAAGGCAAGUUUUUUGUUGUUUUUCAAUCUUAAAAAUAUUUUUACAGCGAGUGUCUCGUAUCAGGGCUGUUUGGAUGUCAGGUUUAGGUGCAGGGGAGCAGGAGAGCAUGCAGGAUCAGGCCAUGCUGCAGCCAAGCAUCCAAACCUGGCAGCUUGGAAGUUCCCACCUUCGUCCCUAGAGCUUUGUCUACACAUUGCUUUUGCAGAGCACUUGUCCUGUGGCAACCGUGGAACUCUGCUGUGGCUUUUUGCUGGAGCUAAGGAGUUUUCUGGAAGAGGGUUUUUAGGGAAAACAAUCUCUGCAGGACCUGGGCUUAAUAGGAGGAACCUGGAGUGUGAUGUGCUGGGGGUCUUGAUAACCCUGUCAGGCCUUGCCACAUCCUACCUAGGAGCAGCCUAUUUUUCCAUCUCCCUUCACUUGCUCCAUGGCUUUUAAUUAUCCUGGCUGACACUCAGUCGUGUUUCCCCCAGAAUCUCUCUGUAUUGUUGAUAGUCUGAGAGGACACUUCUCACCUACCAGCAGCUCUCUGUCCCAUCCUGCUGGAAAAGGGACAUCCCUGGAGGGGCUAUUUCAGGGGGCAGUUUCUGCUGUUAAAGUGACAAUGGCCAUGGCUGGGGAGGAUGAGGAGACUGUUCAGGGGUUUCUGUGCAGCACUGUCCCCAUGGGCUUGGUGGCUGCCUUCAGAAAUGCUUUGGUGUCCCACCACAAAGGAGAGGGCUGGUGGUGCUGCCACCUCCCAGCAGCCUGUCAUGGUAUCUGUGACCAUGAAAAAAGUGAAAAAAGGGUGAAAAAAGUGAAAAAGGGUGAAAAGUGUAAACGAAAUAGUGCAGAGCAGAAGUGAGAUGGUUUGGGAGGACAAUCCCAGGCAGCACAGGGUCUGGAUAGUGGAGGAAGCUCAGAGACUCACUAAUACUAUUUAAAACUGGUGCCAUUAACUUGGAAGAGCUGCCUUUCUCCAGAGCUUGGCUUUUCUGGACAAUCCUGACCAUAGCUUGAUGCCACCAGAGAUCUUUCCAUGGGACAUAUCACAGGCAGAGCAUGUUCUGUCCUGUGUUGCAUCCCCAGCAUGUCACAGAGCACUAUUUCAACAUUGUCUGCAGGUCAAAAUCCACCCUUUGGGUAGAUUUGAGUCCCCUGGACCCCCCUUCAUCAUCAGCAAACUUCCAUCAAAGCCACCGCAGCCCGUCUGGGUUGGGAGUUGUGCAAGAGGCACCAGUGACGCAGGCAGGGCUCUGGUGGCCUUGGCUCAGGGCUCUGGUGGCCUGACAAGGUAAGACCAGGUAAUGUAGGAACAACUUCCCGUCAGAAUCCCACCACUGAGGAGGGACAUGGCAAAUAGCAAAGUUCAGGUCUGGUGGGACGCAGGCUCGGGCUCACACUGUGCCUCAAAGGGGAGGUCAUGGCAGCUCCUCCCUGCCCUUCCCAGGAGUGUGCUGCUGUUUCUCCUGCUUCCCCCAAAAAAAUGCAUCAUUCUGCACCCACACCCCAAACUUUUCCACCUGCCACAAGUAUUAAAUUUGCUCAAAAUGCUGUGAGAAACCACAAAAAAAAAAGCUGGGCAGAUGUUCAGCUGCACCAGUUUCAGGAGGGAGAGACACGUGGCAGUGGCACCUGCUGGGGGGGGACCACUGGGGCCAGUUUGCCCCCUGUGUGUGUUUUGGGGAGAGGAUGCUGCUUUGGGACUCUUUUCUUUCCAAAGAUACUCUUGGACAAGACUUGAAGCCUGGAAAUGCCCAAUCACACACAGAAUUGUUUUUUUUUUCCUGAUUCUUUUGGCCAAAAGAAAUCCCUGAAGGAUGUGGGGAGCUGGCCCCCAGUAUUUGGGGUGCCUGACUUCCCUGUGCAUCGGGCGCCGGAGCGUGGGGACCAUCCGUCCCCAAACGACCAAGCCUUUCACCACUCCCCAAAAAAACCCUCUGGGGCACACCCUGUGCAGAUUUGGGAGGCAGCCAGCCCCUAGCCUGUUAUUACUUUUCCCUGUGGAGUUGGCCUCUCUUCCUCCCCGCUCUUUUUCUUUUUUUUCCUUCUUUCCCUUCAAAUCCAAGCCAGGAAAAGUCUCUGACGUCGGCACUGGGGCUGCAAGCUCCUAGGAUGCUGCUUUGGGACUCUUUUCUUUCCAAAGAUACUCUUGGACAAGACUUGAAGCCUGGAAAUGCCCAAUCACACACAGAAUUGUUUUUUUUUCCUGAUUCUUUUGGCCAAAAGAAAUCCCUGAAGGAUGUGGGGAGCUGGCCCCCAGUAUUUGGGGUGCCUGACUUCCCUGUGCAUCGGGCGCCGGAGCGUGGGGACCAUCCGUCCCCAAACGACCAAGCCUUUCACCACUCCCCAAAAAAACCCUCUGGGGCACACCCUGUGCAGAUCUGGGAGGCAGCCAGCCCCUAGCCUGUUAUUACUUUUCCCUGUGGAGUUGGCCUCUCUUCCUCCCCGCUCUUUUUCUUUUUUUUCCUUCUUUCCCUUCAAAUCCAAGCCAGGAAAAGUUUCUGAUGUCGGCACCGGGGCUGCAAGCUCCUUGUGGCCGCAGGGGGAAGGCAGUGGAGGGGAUAUCCCGGAUCAUAAAACCAGGAUCUCACUAUGAGCAGGGCCACCAGUGGUUGCCUGUGAGUUGUCCCCUGCUGGUGACAAGGUGGGAGGGAUGGGUGGGAGACUGUGUUCAGCAGGGGGAGUUCCUUUUCCCUACAGUGCAGAAGGUUUAGUGCCUUUUUGUGGGUUUUAUGAUCCUCUUAUGGCUCAAUCUCUUCUGGCACAAGAGGGAAUUAGGUUAAAAAGCUGUCCAUGGAGACCUCAAAUUUGAGUUGCUUGGGGGCUGCAUGUGAAGGGAAAAGCUGAAAUUCCAGCUAAAGGGCUGUUGAAGGGAUUCUUGAAGCAUCAUGUUUCCUCCAGGGCAUUGCCCCAUGAGCUCUGGACAGGAGAGGCAGCCCUGACACUGGUGGCAUCACAGGAAUCCCACAGUGUGGGCACAGGGUCUGUGUUCAGGGGCUGUGAAUCUGGGUGAGAGGGAAAAACAAUUCCCAAAGGACCUUUGUAGACACUUUGCUCACUGUGCCUCAGCCUCCCUUCAAAGACAAAAGGUGCAAAUACAAGAUAAGAAAGGGCUGAUCACGUUACCCUGCCUCCGGUGCAUUCCCAGCUUCCACAGUGCUGGGAAGGCUGUGCUCUUUAUCUGGCUGGCUGCAUCAGCUUCCCCAUUCCUCCCUCUUUCCUGGUGUCCUGAGUGCCUCCUGCUUGCAAAUAUCCACGCCAACAUCAUGCUGGCAUCUUUCCCUGCUCUCUAAAUGCUACCAAACUCCUUAAGUCCAACUGGAGCUGUAAAAUCAAGGACUGCCACAGCUCUCUUCAGCGAAAUUCCGUGUUAGCCAGUAUUUACUGCACACCAAAAAGGAUGUGGAGAAAGAUGCAUGGCCUGGUUUGUCUUGCAGGUGUGUUUUCAUGGGCUGCCAAGACCUCCCCCCCUCACUCUCCCUCCUGCACCUGUGCAUUUUUAAUCCUCCUUGUCACAUUUUGCUCAGAAAACAUCACACGCAGCAAGAGAAACAGCCUAAAAAAUAACCCCUUGGAGGAAAAACGCCACGAUGCUUCCCCGGCAGAUGGUGCUGGGCACUGCUUUGCUCCUGGCAGCAGGUACCCACAGCCACCAGGGUAGCCAGCAUGGCUUUUCCAGGACAUCCCAUCUCUCUGUCCAGCUCUGCACCUGGAGCAGCACUGGUGGCUGCUUACACCUCUCCCCACGGAUUCUGGCUCUGCUGGUGUUUUGUUUCCGUUGCUCUCCUCCCAGACCUUUACAGUUUCCUUCCUUGCGGAUGCAACUGGAGGAAAUCUCAGCUCUCUGGCUGUGUCCCAGCUGCAGUCACAGGCUGGGGACAGCACUGUGACUCUCUGUGUCCUGGGACCUGUCCUCCCUGGCAGUGAUGGUGAUGCUGAUGCUGGCAGUGGUGAUGCUGCUUGUGGCAGUGCAGUGCUGGUGGCAGUGGUGGCAGUGAUGGCGCUGCUCAUGCUGGUGGAACCCAGUGGUGGCAGUGGUGACACUGGUGGCAGUGGUGAUGCUGCUGCUGGUGGCAGUGGUGGUGCUCAUGGCAGUGGUCAUUGUGGUGGCAGUGGUGACAGUGGUGACAGUGGUGGUACUGCUGAUUCUGGUUGCAGUGAUUGUGGUGGCAGUGGUGACACUGGUGACAGUGGUGUCCAUGGUGAUGCUGGUGGUGCUGCUCUUGCUGCUGGCAGUGGUGACAGUGGUGGUACUGCUGGUACAGAUCUCAUGUGUGCAGCUCAGCCUCACAAACCUGCUCUCCAUGAUCACUCAUGUCAGUGGCAAUGGAUGUGUGCAGAAACUUCUGCAUGGUGAUAACUGGAAAUACUCAGAAACUUGGGCUCAGUUUUCGGGGUGGUGGAAGUGCUUGUUGGGAGUAGGGAGGGCAGGACUUCAUCAGCCUUAAGGGGAAAGGACUGGUCAGUGUCUUGCUAUGUGAGCUGAAAGCAGGAGAGAGGUCGAGAAAGUGACACAGCUGUGUGUUUUGUUGGGUUUCUCUGAAGGUGAACUUUGACCAGGAGAUGUGCUCACUCCGAGAUCGCUAUAUUUAUAUACAGGUGAGAUGCACAUUGUGGGUGAGUAAGAGCCUUUGUUCCAAGUCCCGCUCCUAAAGCCCCUGUGGAGCGACACUUUGGCUCUGCAAAGCUUCCUUUUCCUUUGCUUGGGGAUGUGCUGUGUUUAGGAAAACCUGACUCCACCAUCUGUGUCCCACUAGCUGGGUACCAGCAACACGGCCAUCGGGUCCAGCAUCUGCUCGCUGCUCCAGCCAAGCUCUUCCAUUCGCUGGGUGAAGAAGAUCUGACCUUUAUUUUCCAUCAGGUUGCCGUGAGGAAGAUCAGCCUCAUCCCUCUGUUGCAGGCUCAGUCCCUGGACAUCUGGGAUGAGGCCAAGACAUUUGUAAAGGUCUUGCCACACUGCAAAGGAAUAUUUCAG
rnacentral:lncRNA from 12 species